GGCGGACGGGUGAGUAACACGUGGGAACGUGCCCUUCGGUUCGGGAUAACUCAGGGAAACUUGAGCUAACACCGGAUACGCCCUUACGGGGAAAGGUUACGCCGAAGGAUCGGCCCGCGUCUGAUUAGCUUGUUGGUGGGGUAACGGCUCACCAAGGCGACGAUCAGUAGCUGGUCUGAGAGGAUGAUCAGCCACACUGGGACUGAGACACGGCCAGACUCCUACGGGAGGCAGCAGUGGGGAAUCUUGCGCAAUGGGCGAAAGCCUGACGCAGCCAUGCCGCGUGAAUGAUGAAGGUCUUAGGAUUGUAAAAUUCUUUCAGCGGGGAAGAUAAUGACGGUACCCGCAGAAGAAGCCCCGGCUAACUUCGUGCCAGCCGCCGCGG
rnacentral:rRNA from 1 species